rnacentral:rRNA from 1 species
CGGCAAUUCGAUGCUUACACAUGCAGUCGAUUCAAGUUACCUUCGGGUAAUGAGGAUGGCGGACGGGUGAGUAACGCGUAAGGAACUUGCCUCUUGGACUGGGACAACUGUUGGAAACGACAGCUAAUACCGGAUAUUAUGAGAUUCUCGCAUGGGAAACUUAUGAAAGCUAUAUGCGCCAAGAGAGAGCCUUGCGUUCCAUUAGCUAGUUGGUGGGGUAACGGCCCACCAAGGCGACGAUGGAUAGCCGGCCUGAGAGGGUGAACGGCCACAAGGGGACUGAGACACGGCCCUUACUCCUACGGGAGGCAGCAGUGGGGAAUAUUGGACAAUGGGCCACAAGCCUGAUCCAGCAAUUCUGUGUGCACGAUGAAGGUCUUCGGAUUGUAAAGUGCUUUCAGUUGGGAAGAAGAAAGUGACGGUACCAACAGAAGAAGCGACGGCUAAAUACGUGCCAGCAGCCGCGGUAAUACGUAUGUCGCAAGCGUUAUCCGGAUUUAUUGGGCGUAAAGCGCGUCUAGGCGGAAAAAUAAGUCUGAUGCUAAAAUGCGGGGCUCAACUCCGUAUUGCGUUGGAAACUGUUUUUCUAGAGUACUGGAGAGGUGGGCGGAACUACAAGUGUAGAGGUGAAAUUCGUAGAUAUUUGUAGGAAUGCCGAUGGAGAAGUCAGCUCACUGGACAGAUACUGACGCUGAAGCGCGAAAGCGUGGGGGAGCAAACAGGAUUAGAUACCCUGGGUAGUCCACGCCCGUAAACGAUGAUCACUAGGGUGUUGGGGGGUCGAAACCUCAGCGCCCCAAGCUAACGCGAAUAAGUGAUCCGCCCGGGGGAGUACGCACGCCAAGUGUGAAAACUCAAAGGAAAUUGACGGGGGACCCGCCACAAGCGGGUGGAACCAUGUUGGUUUAAUUUCGACGCCAACGCCGAGAAAACCUUUACCCAGCGUUUUGAACAUCCCUAAAGAAAGUUUUCCAGAAGAAUGGGAUUUCG